UACGAAGGAUGCAAGCGUUAUCCGGAUUUAUUGGGUUUAAAGGGUGCGUAGGCGGGCUUAUAAGUCAGUGGUGAAAGCUUCCGGCUUAACCGGGAAAUUGCCAUUGAUACUGUAAGUCUUGAGUAUGGUUGAAGUGGGCGGAAUGUGCAGUGUAGCGGUGAAAUGCUUAGAUAUUGCACAGAACACCGAUUGCGAAGGCAGCUCGCUAAGCCAUAACUGACGCUGAGGCACGAAAGCAUGGGGAGCAAACAGGAUUAGAAACCCGUGUAGU
rnacentral:rRNA from 1 species